AGUGAACGCUGGCGGUAGGCCUAACACAUGCAAGUCGAACGGCAACACAGUAAGAUCUUGCUCUUACGGGUGGCGAGUGGCGGACGGGUGAGGAAUACAUCGGAAUCUACUUUUUCGUGGAGGAUAACGUAGGGAAACUUACGCUAAUACCGCAUACGAUCUACGGGUGAAAGCAGUGGAUCUUCGGACCUUGCGCGAUUGAAUUAGCCGAUGUCGGAUUAGCUAGUUGGCGGGGUAACGGCCCACCAAGGCGACGAUCCGUAGCUGGUCUGAGAGGAUGAUCAGCCACACUGGAACUGAGACACGGUCCAGACUCCUACGGGAGGCAGCAGUGGGGAAUAUUGGACAAUGGGCGCAAGCCUGAUCCAGCCAUACCGCGUGGGUGAAGAAGGCCUUCGGGUUGUAAAGCCCUUUUGUUGGGAAAGAAAAGCAGCAGGUUAAUACCCCGCUGUUCUGACGGUACCCAAAGAAUAAGCACCGGCUAACUUCGUG
rnacentral:rRNA from 1 species